CACCUGUCGCUUCUCUGGCAUCCUGGAUGAGCCCCAGCCCUGCCCCUGUGCUGCCUUUCACUUCCCACCUCCCGACCCUUCCUCGCCCUGACCCUGGAGGGAGUCUAGAGCUUCCACUCCCUGGACUGAAGAGCUGUGCACUGCAUCACUCAGAGAUAACGGAGCAGGCACACCUAGGUGGACGCAUCAGAAGAUGGGCAUGGAAGUGAAUCCUGGAGCAGCACAGGAGCAGACGUAGACAGGAAAUCAGGAGGCACUGGCCAGGAAACGCAUUUUUUUAUUUUUUGUUGUUGUUAUUGCUUUAAUAUUCGAAAGAAUGGACUUGAAAUACGAAAACUAUGUGUACGUGUUACUGUGAUAAAACUAACGCAAAUUUCUCUGAAAAACCAAUGAGCCCACAAGUGAAGCCAGCACGGGACACACAGCACGCGGAGGAGCCGCGGGCCGCCCCUCAGCCCUGCCUAACCGUGGCGUGGUCUUCCUGCUGCGGGAUCUGACCCAGGCCUGCGAGCGGCGGCAGGUUCCAGGCCAGGGCUGCUGGCGCCCGUGAAGGGAAACACGUUAGCCCGCGGACGUGGCACGGGGUCCCACCGAGCGCGUGGCCUCGCUCGGUGCCCAGAACCGGCUCCCCGGGGCCUGGCCCCCGCCCCUGCCCCUACCCCGCUCCGCCCCGGCCCCGGGGCGCGCAGCCCCGGUCCCUGCCCCGCCCUCCUCGGCCCUCCGCCGGUGCCCGGGGGCCUGUGGAGCGCCCCUCCCCCGCCUGGAAUCCCUGUCGCCGGGGACUCAGCUGACGGCGGACAGACAAUGGUAUUUCCCAUCAGCCUGGGUAUCAGGAGCCGGCCUUAUCCAGUCGUGUUUUGCUAUGGGUCCACUAAACAGGGCACUCAGCUGCUCCGGAGUGCAGCGCCAUGGACUGUGACCACUACCAGGGCUGAGAGCAGCCCCUGCUCGUCUUCCCAGAGCAGAGAUGCCUUGAGACUGAAGCUCCGUCUGGGCAGGACCAGCAACAGCCAGGGGCUCCUGCUCUGCUGGCGCCGUGCGGUCUCUGAGCACACGAGGAGAAAGGAGGCACGGAGCCUACUGUCCAGGACACACAAGUCGCUUCGCUCCCAGGAUGUGUUUAUGUCUGUUUUCUCCAACUCAAGUAUGUGCCGCGGGGCAGGGGCGGGGGUGGGGGAGUGGAUUUCCUGUCUCCUGUUACUGAGCCAUUCCCCGGAACUGGCCGUGUGCCUGGCACGUGGCUGGCACUUGGUAUCCAUCAACCUUGUGGAACAUUUACACAGCCAUAGGGUAAGAAGGGAAAUGUGAGCUCAAGGUGCUGGGAGACAGAGGAGAAGGUAAAACAUGAGAGGUAACCAGUGGACUGGGUUUUGAAGGAGGAAUAGGAGUUCAUCAGGGUGGGGGAGGCUUUGGCUCUUACAGUUAGAUUUCAGGAUAAACUUGAUAUUGAUACCGUGAGACUCUUCAGCCAAUCUCAGUAGGAGGUGAAGUACGUAUCCUAGUGAGAUUAGAACACACGUCUGGAGUUUGUCAUCCUGGGGAGGAGCCCCAGUGGCAUGCCUUGUGUGUGCCCAGUGCUGUGCGAGGCACUGGGCGCACACCUGCUGUCUGGCCCGAGAUGGGCAUUUGAGGAAGUCAAGGGCUCCAGCACUUGUUGUGGGUCUCAGAGCUGGUCGGCGCUGGGCUCCAGCCGUGCUAAGCGUGGAGUGAGUGAAAUGAAUGAAUGAAUGAAACGAAUGGAUGAAUGUCCAAAGCAGAGCCGCUGUAAAGCACCAGGCCCCACAGCCUGAGUUUCAGAAUAAGCCCCAAGGCGUUUUCCAUGUGGAAAACCUGUGUUUGGAGCCUACAGCCUUUCUGCUUCACUUCAGGCCCUCCCACCUCCUCCCUUCCAGCCCAAGGUCUCAGGAACACUCAGAAGCUCCGAGAGGGGCUGGAGAAGCUCCAUCUAUCACCAACCUUGAGACGUC
rnacentral:lncRNA from 1 species